UACAGAGGAGCCAAGCGUUGUCCGGAUUGACUGGGCGUAAAGCGCACGCAGGCGGUUGCGCGCGUGGGGUGUGAAAUCUGGCCGCUUAACGGGCAGGCGCCAUCCCAUACGGCGCGACUGGAGUGAUGCAGAGGUCGAUGGAAUUGCCGGUGUAGUGGUGAAAUGCGUAGAUAUCCGGAGGAACACCGAUGGCGAAGGCAGCCCCCUGGGCUAACACUGACGCUCAGGCACGAAAGCGUGGGGAGCAAACAGG
rnacentral:rRNA from 1 species